CGUUUCAUGGAGGGUUAAGGUUGGGGAAUAGGGGCCUGGUGGAUUGUUGCUGCUCAAGCCCCAAAAAUCUUUAACUUCUUGUUCUUCUCAUCUUUGUCCUUGAAGAUUGGAGACACCUCAAGGACCUGGUAACUGCUGAGUUUGGUCAGACUGUUACACAGUGUCACCUGCAGCGAGAACUUCCAGCAGAAAGAAUGCAGAAAUGUGAAAAGGGCAGUGAUGGACAAAGGACACAAAGUCGAGACCCCCAAGAAAGAAGUUAACCUGACUGUGACACGCUGGCACACGAGAGACAAUUAGGGGAAACCGAAGAAUCCAGGGGAAACACUUCACUGGAGCCUGGCAGUUAAUAAGCAGAGCUUGAGAUGGUUUUAAUAAACAAUACAUUCUAUCUUGGGUUUAUGGUUGAAAGACUUUGUGACAAUAAAUUAAUCACUUCCCCCCGUU